rnacentral:rRNA from 1 species
UGGGCUUGACAUACACUGGAUCGGGCUAGAGAUAGUCUUUCCCUUUGUGGCUGGUGUACAGGUGGUGCAUGGUU